GUUUUUCAAAAAUAAAAUUAUAUAAUCUGUAAAUAAAAGUUCUACAGAUUCUUCCUAAUAUUUGGCUAGUCACUAGUUUAUUAGCUAUCUAUUUUACAGGUACAUUAGACUUGCUACAAGUCAGACUCUCUUUGGACUCAGAAAAAGAAAGAAUAGAACUUCAAGCAUGAAGCGCAAGAAAAAAAAUGAGAGUGGAGGGGAAUAAAAGGGACUUUGUGAAAGUCUACAGGUUGAGUUUAUGUAAAUGAUUGGCUGUUCACUGAACUUGGAAGAAUCAAAAGGAAUCAUACGUCUUGCUUUUGUUGCAAGGCUAAAACAUUAAUAAAAAGAUGGCUGUAAAUCUGYUGAUAGUUUGUAAUAAUAAAAGGACACUGGAGAUCCAUAA